rnacentral:rRNA from 1 species
GAUGAACGCUGGCGGCGUGCCUAAUACAUGCAAGUCGAGCGAAUAGACGAGGAGCUUGCUCCUUCGACGUUAGCGGCGGACGGGUGAGUAACACGUAGGUAACCUAGCUAUAAGACUGGGAUAACUUCGGGAAACCGGAGCUAAUACCUGAUAAUAUUUCGAACCGCAUGGUUCGAUAGUGAAAGAUGGCUUUGCUAUCACUUAUAGAUGGACCUGCGCCGUAUUAGCUAGUUGGUAAGGUAACGGCUUACCAAGGCAACGAUACGUAGCCGACCUGAGAGGGUGAUCGGCCACACUGGAACUGAGACACGGUCCAGACUCCUACGGGAGGCAGCAGUAGGGAAUCUUCCGCAAUGGGCGAAAGCCUGACGGAGCAACGCCGCGUGAGUGAUGAAGGUCUUCGGAUCGUAAAACUCUGUUAUUAGGGAAGAACAAAGGUGUAAGUAACUGUGCACGCCUUGACGGUACCUAAUCAGAAAGCCACGGCUAACUACGUG